UCAGCUGUUGCUGGACAGACAACUUGUUUGCAAAAACCUAAUCAUUGACGGAGACAUAAUCAGUUAUGCUGAAAAAGCAAAAGGCGACCUUGGUUUAUUUAUUGACAAAUAUUUAUUAAAUUCGUGGGACAGUUUUGAAGUCAAGGUUAUGAGCAUUGGUAGAGGCGGAGGUAUAGCUAUCGGUGUGGUACCGGAUAACUAUCCAAAUGAUCUUCUACCUGGAUUAGGAAAUGAUUCAUGUGGAUACCAUUCAAACGGCAUGGUGUUCAAAGGAAGUAAAUCCGGUGAAAAAUCUGGAAACAAGUGGAAAGUCUGCGAUCGAAUCAAAGUUGAAAUGUAAGUAUUAAGUAGUUUUU